UCAAAUGCUACUAUAUCUCCUCCUAUAGUAGCAUUUGAAUAGGAGGAGAUAUAGUAGCAUUUGAAU